CACGGAGUUAGCCGAUGCUUAUUCAUAUGGUACCGUCAUCAAAGUACACGUACUCCUUAUUCUUCCCAUAUAAAAGCAGUUUACAACCCAUAAGGCAUUCUUCCUGCACGCGGCAUGGCUGGUUCAGUCUUCCGACCAUUGACCAAUAUUCCUCACUGCUGCCUCCCGUAGGAGUCUGGUCCCUGUCUCAGUACCAGUGUGGGGGAUCUCCCUCUCAGGACCCCUACCUAUCGUAGCCUUGGGGUGCCGUUACCACUCCAACUAGCUAAUAGGACGCAUGCCCAUCUUUCACCAUCGUAAUUUUAAUUAUCAAAUGAUGCCAUCCAAUAAUAUUAUGGGUAUUAAUCCAAAUUUCUUCGGGCUAUCCCCCUGUGAAAGGUAGGUUGCAUACGCGUUACGCACCCGUGCGCCGGUUUCUGCCCCGAAGGGCUUCUCCCUCGACUUGCAUGUGUUAGCCUGCCGCUAGCGUUCAUCCUGAGCCAGGAUCAAACUCU
rnacentral:rRNA from 1 species